rnacentral:rRNA from 1 species
UACGAAGGGGGCUAGCGUUGUUCGGAAUUACUGGGCGUAAAGCGCACGUAGGCGGGUUUGUAAGUAGGGGGUGAAAUCCCAGGGCUCAACCCUGGAACUGCCUUCUAAACUGCAAGCCUGGAGGUCAGGAGAGGCGAGUGGAAUUCCGAGUGUAGAGGUGAAAUUCGUAGAUAUUCGGAGGAACACCAGUGGCGAAGGCGGCCUGCUGGGCAGUAGCUGACGCUGAGGCGCGACAGCGUGGGGAGCAAACAGGA